AGCGCGCCCCCCGACACGGCCACCCCCCCCGCACCUACUACGGGGCAGAGACGCUGUACGGGCAGCCGGGCAUGUCCGUGAUGGCAGCGCCCAUCAGCUUUGACCGCCCCUAUCUGGCAGCUCAGCAGGGAAUGAUGCGUCAGAAAUCCAUGGGAGCCUCUGACGAGAGAAACAAUUCUUGUUGCCCCCGGCCUUCAAGUUUGCCCGCAGCCUGUCGGUGCCGAGUGCUGACG